rnacentral:rRNA from 1 species
UACGAAGGGGGCUAGCGUUGCUCGGAAUCAUUGGGCGUAAAGGGUGCGUAGGCGGGUCUUUAAGUCAGGGGUGAAAUCCUGGAGCUCAACUCCAGAACUGCCUUCGAUACUGGCGAGCUUGAGUUCGGGAGAGGUGAGUGGAACUGCGAGUGUAGAGGUGAAAUUCGUAGAUAUUCGCAAGAACACCAGUGGCGAAGGCGGCUCACUGGCCCGAUACUGACGCUGAGGUGCGAAAGCGUGGGGAGCAAACAGG